GUUCAGUUGUGGCAAUGCCUCUGGUUGUGGUUGAGACUGACUGUCAGGCGUAUGGAGGGGAAGUCGUUGCCACAGUUGUUUCUCGCAGCCAUGUGCGAAAGAACGGCCUGUAUACUCCCAAAGCAGUGCUUGCAGGUGGCAACCCAUUACUGUGGGAGUGAAGGCCACGAGUACCCCCUGGGCAUGAUGUCAGCCUGGAAGGCACCUAUGAGCCCUCCUACAACGUGCCGCCCAAUAGCUUUUGUCCGGUCCUGGUACAUAACAGCCAGCUCGGGGUAGAGACAGGCACCGAGCGUGUCUUGACCUCGAUGAGGUGGGGCCUCGUUCCAUCCUGGUACCAAAGCGAUCCAGCAGACUUCAAGGUCAACACGAUCAACUGCCGCAUCGAAGGCGCUGCCAGCCAGAAAUGCUAUCUACCGGCCAUAACAGCAGGGCAUCGAUGUGUCGUUAUUGCCGAGGGGUACUUCGAAUGGCAGAAACAUACCAAGCAGGCAUUUUUUGUGCACUGCCAGCAAUUAUUGGAGAACUCCAUGACAACACGACAGUGGGACGUUCCAUAGAUCGAAGAUGUCGUGAUCUACAAUGGGCAUUGGCAUGGUCCCAAGCUGUUGACCAUGGCCGGCCUCUUUGACAUCAAUGUAUGUAAAAGCUGCACUGUGCUGCCAGGCCACACUAUUGUAAUGCUUGCAUGUUUCUUUGACUUGCCGCCCAGGCGGUUGAUAUGCUCGGCCUGUAAUUUGUGGCUGAAUAAAUGUCUAC